rnacentral:lncRNA from 1 species
CCGAAGGUCUCAUGAAUAUAACUUUUCUCUAACAAGGUUAAGUCCCAAGUAAAGUCUAUUCAAAUUUUGUGAACAAAAAAAAUAGUCGGAGAGAGCUUUCCUCGCUUUGAGGUCUUGCAUUUCGAUAAUAAAGUCUUACAAAAACAAAUCCUGACAGCUACAGUGUCAGUAAUGAUUCAAAACAAACAAAAGCUCCAGCACAAAGUUAAAGAAUGAAGAGCAGUAGGGAGUAGAGCUUCCACCAUAGAUGUCACUCACAGACAACACUAUUACAUGUGAAAGAAUUCUACUCAGAUUUGCUAUUCUAGAGGUUCGAAUCCACUGGCAACUAAGAAUCUUUGAAUUUCAGGCAUCUAGUCUAGGAAUGGAAGUUCUGUCAUUUGGAAUUGGCUUGUAUCUACAGAUGUUACUCGGACAGGUUUGUUACUUUGUGUUUUUUGCGGCAACUA